AAAAAUCCUUGUUUCCAUGAUUUUCUAGCUAAUAACUCCCUGACAUAGCUGCAGUGCUCAAUUCUGACUACCUGUUUCCAGCACUCAGCCUGUAGAUACAACUUUUCCUUGGUCUCAAAGCAUUCCAGUAAGGGAAGACUGUACCAAACCCUCAUUCCAAACACAGGCAAACUCAGCUGGUCGCUGAAGACAGGAUUUCUAAAUGAGCCUGAGAAUUACACAUGCAAAUCCCAUAGGCCUGGAAUUGGGAACAUCUGAGCAACAAAUUGUCCUUGCUAAAGAUGGUGCCGGAGCCAAAAAGCCUACAGAUUUCGGGCCUGCUGAGUAACGCUGCUGAGGAUCCCAACGGCAAGAGCUGAGCACCAGGAGAGGGGUGUGCGUGUCCAGCGUUUUGGUAAGAGCUGCUGUGCAUUGAGGGGGACGCAGAACUCCGGGU